rnacentral:rRNA from 1 species
GACGAACCGAGCGAACGUUGUUCGGAAUCACUGGGCUUAAAGGGCGCGUAGGCGGGCCUGAAAGUCAGGGGUGAAAGCCCACGGCUCAACCGUGGAAGUGCCUCUGAUACUUCAGGCCUCGAGGGAGGUAGGGGCGUGCGGAACUUCCGGUGGAGCGGUGAAAUGCGUAGAUAUCGGAAGGAACGUCGGUGGCGAAAGCGGCGCGCUGGACCUCUUCUGACGCUGAGGCGCGAAAGCCAGGGGAGCGAACGGG